AGAAAAGGCAUCUCCUUCAACAACUGUCUCUUGCAGACCUAUUUCUUCCAUGCCUUAGGAGCAAGUGAGUGUUACCUACUUACUGCCAUGGCAUAUGAUCGUUACUCAGCAAUCUGCCACCCUCUGCGAUACAACUCAAUCAUGACAAGGAAAGUGACACUACAGCUUGUUGCCAUCUGUUUUGUUUGUGGCUUUUUUUGCCCCAUUACAGAAGUGAUCUUAAUAUCCAAAUUACCUUUUUGUAACAGUAACGAAAUUAAUCACAUUUUCUGCG